CCCACGAUGGCCGAGAUUAUAGGCAUUAAGCUUUUAACUUAACUACAGUACAGCACUUCAUGGGC
rnacentral:tRNA from 1 species